rnacentral:rRNA from 1 species
GGAUGAACGCUAGCGGCAGGCCUAAUACAUGCAAGGCGAAGGGGCAGCAAUGUCACUGUCGUACGGGUGCGUAACGCGUAUGCAACCUACCUAUCACAGGGGAAUAGCCUUUGGAAACAGGGAUUAAUACCGCAUAAAGCAGGGACACCGCAUGGUGAUAUUGCUAAAGAUUUAUCGGUGAUAGAUGGGCAUGCGUCUGAUUAGUUAGUUGGCAGGGUAACGGCCUACCAAGACGAUGAUCAGUAGGGGGCGUCAGAGCGUGGUCCCCCACACUGGCACUGAGAUACGGGCCAGACUCCUACGGGAGGCAGCAGUAGGGAAUAUUGGGCAAUGGAUGCAAGUCUGACCCAGCCAUGCCGCGUGCAGGAAGAAGGUCCUCUGGAUUGUAAACUGCUUUUGUCGGGGAAGAAUAGGUCUCUUGCGAGGGAUUGUGACGGUACCCGAUGAAUAAGCCGCGGCUAACUACGUG